UUAGCUCACUCUCAAAUGACUGUGGCCUGUCUGAAGAAACAUAGGCAGCAAGAAACACCCCAUUUGAGGAAAUAUCUAGCAGCGUCAGAAUGGUUAACGGUGCUUUGUCCCUCCAGGUUCUUCCACUGGUCCUUUUCCUGGGGAAUACGCAUUUGUGUUCUUGCAGUUUCUUCUUCCUGUCUGGCCUUCUGAAUGACCAGACUGAAGACUAUGAGUACUAUGAUGAGUACACCCAACAAGAAGAGGAAUCCCUCCUCCAGAGCCAAUACACCGAGGAUCCUGACUGGUUUGAGGAACUGUUUGGCUACAGCAGUGUGAGAAAAGACCCAUGCUCCUCCAAUCCCUGCAAGAACAAUGGCUGGUGUGAAAAAAAAGGAAGUCAUUUCAGCUGCCUCUGCCCCAAGCCAUACACUGGGACUACAUGUGAGAAAGUGAAAAACAUGUGUCUGGAGAAGAGGUGCAUCAGAGGAGACUGCCUUAUUACAUUAACCUCCCCUUAUUUUCGGUGCAGCUGUAGUCAUCCCUACAAAUUACCAGACUGUCACCGAGCAUCUUCACCAUGCAGGCCAAACCCGUGUAAAAAUGGAGGUAUCUGUAUACGGCAUAGAAUCAGAUCAAAAUUCACCUGCCAGUGUCCCGAACCAUUUAGAGGGAGAAUCUGUGAAAUUGGACCAGAUGAUUGUUAUGACGUGGACUCUGAGUACAGAGGAAGAGUGAACCAAGCAGUGAAUGGAAAGACAUGCCUGCACUGGAAUUCGCACAUUCUCUUGGACUAUCCUAUUAACUCAUUUAUGGAGGAUGCUGACUUUUAUGGCAUUGGUGAACAUAACUUCUGCAGGAAUCCUGAUGGUGAUGAAAAACCCUGGUGCUACUUCAAAAAAAAUAACAAGGUGGAAUGGGACUUCUGUGACAUUUCACCCUGCUCAGGAACAGCUGAAGAGAUCCCAGAGGUGACAGACAGAGCAGCCAUCCCUCCCGGAUCAAAAGAAAUAUUCAAAACAUGUGGACAACUAGAAAGUCAAAGGCCACUCAAGAGGAUCUACGGUGGAGCCAAGACUAGAGCUGGCAAACACCCAUGGAUGGUAUCUCUGCAGAAAAAGACUUCAAGGAAGAGCAGACAUUUCUGUGGUGGAGUGCUAAUUAAAUCAUGCUGGGUUCUUACUGCUGGACAUUGCAUUGAAGACUCCGCAGAAAAUCUCCAAGUGGCCAUUGGAAAGCAAGACCUCAGGAAGAGAGAGCCUCAAGAGCAAAUAUUUGAUGUGGAGAAGAUCAUUGUACAUUACAAAUACAAAGAGAAGGAUGGUGUCCCAUACAACGAUAUUGCUUUACUUAAGUUGAAGCCAGUUGACGGUCACUGUGCUGUGGAAACAAAGUAUGUGAAAACAGUGUGUUUGCCUAACUUCCUCUUUCCUGUUGGGACUGACUGCUUCAUUUCAGGAUGGGGUGUGACAGAGACAGAUGAAGAAUCUCAUCAGCUGUUAGAUGCCAAUGUCAAGUUGAUUUCGCAGAGGCAGUGCAAUGCACCAAGAGCAUAUGAUCAUAUACUGGAUGAAAGCAUGUUCUGUGCAGGAAAUCUUCAGAGGCCUGGAGUUGAUUCUUGUCAGGGAGAUUCUGGAGGCCCUCUAACUUGUGUAGAAAAUGGCUCCUACUAUGUGUACGGCAUUGUGAGCUGGGGUGAACAGUGUGGGUUAAAAAACAAGCCAGGAGUCUAUACCCAGGUGACAACAUUUCUCAGUUGGAUUAAAUCCAAAAUUCGGUCUGAGUCAAGGUCACUUCAUUAAGAGACAGCAUUUGGAACAGCAAAUGAAUUUCUGAAGCAUCAGGGUUAACUGUGACUUGAUGACAUCCUUCUGUAUCCGACUGGUCCUGUAAGAUCAAAGCCAAGUAAAUUGUGAGGACAGCUAGUGGACAGGAGAAGAACAAGGCUGUCUCCCUCUCUGCCAACCCCGGCUCGCUGCAUUUUGAAAAGCAUAUUUUCCAAUUCACAUUAGAAGAGCCUACCUCAUUAGCAAUCAUAUUGCUGAAUUUUGCAUGAAGGAGGCCAGGAGAGUCUGUCACCGAUGUGUACUUGAAGGAAUGUGGCUGCUGACGAUAUUUACUCUGAGUUCACGCAGAAAGAAAAACGAACAGAAUCACUAAAUUGUGUUGUCAGAUAAGGGACUUUUUUCUAACAUUAGCACUCUAGCAUUGCUUCCUGUGCUUAAAACACUACUUUGCAAAGGAUACCUAUCUAUUAAUCAUUAGACUAAUUUACCUUUUGCUUCUCUGGUGCAUGCUUGUCUCAUUAGUGGAAAUUAAGAGCAAAUAAGGAAUUCUCUGUACUUAAAGAAAAACGUGCAGAUUUGCUGAAUACAGCAAUGAGGUUACUUCACCUCUUCAUGUCACUAAAACUGGGUAAUGAAAUUAGAGGAAAGGCAGUGCAAUCCAGACAGAAGAUGCUGCACAAGCCUGCUGAACUUUUUUGUGGGAAGGACGUGAUUCCACUUGGUCAGUGGUGCUAAGUCAGAACUGUGAAUAAAAUAACUGCGAGCUCACUGCAAGCAGGGAUCUAUUCACUGGAAUGCAAUUUUCACAUGCAGUAGAUCCACGAUUUGAAACUAGCAGAGAGUAUAAGGAGAGAACACAACAGAGGGAAGAACAAUCUGAUUACAAAGGGUAAUAGGGAAACAAAAGGGGAACAGGAUGCAAAGGCAGCAAGUGAAAAACAGACUAAGAUUGCAAAGCAGAAGGAGAGUUGAGAUUAGUAUAAUGGGCACUCUGGCACUGGGCACUCUGGCAAGUCCGUUUAAUUUUGGAGAAAUAACACAAGAUGCCUAAUAGAGCGCAUGCACUUAUUUUUAGUCGAAAAAGCACAUUUUAAGAUCUAAAAUAAAUUACAUAAAAUAACAACCAUCUGGGUCUGAAACAUGGGAUAAAAGAUUUAUAAAAACAGUUAGUAAAGGAAAAUCUUGAACUCCAUCAGUUUCACCCAUCUGCAGCUAGGACAUGAAUGGAGUGAUCAAAUGGAAGGGGAGGGAGCUUAGAGUUAUCCAGCAAGUCACUUUGCCAGCCCAGUUUAAUAGAAAGACAUCUGGCAAACUCUUGUUUGCAGUGGAGAAAUCAAAACCCUCUUUUGUUACCUCGCUAAUGAGGUUAGAAGCUUUCUUCUUUUCUUCAAUCUCUAGGGCCCCUGGAGUAAUACAUCCAACUCCUCGCAUAAAGUUCAUGUCAGACCGGUAUAAACUCUAAGGGAAAGCAAGCAGAAGUAAUUACAAGUUUGCAUUUGAGAUGCCCUCUAUUUAUUCAUCCAAAAAUACACAAUAAGGUUAUUCAAAUAAAUCCAUUAGAAUUAGCAUCUGCUACAAAGAGUUAAUAUACUUUACCCUACGUUCUUUUGUUUGUGUGUGCAUGCGUGUUUGUGUGUGCGCACAUUCGUCAUGAACAGGCGUAGACAAAUGUAAGAUUCUGAAGAGUACUAAAUCCUAUUAACGUGAAUGAUACUUGGGAUCCCAAAUUCCAUUUGUACCUUUGAAAAGAAACUUUCCCUAGAUAUAUAACUUUUACUCAUAUGUAAUAUAUAAGUCAUAUCUAUAUAUUAUGUAUAGAGAUAUAUAAAAUGGGACUAGUUAUAUUCUUCAGUAAAAGCCGGGAACUUUUAAUAAACCGAAAUUCAGACAAAAAAUUUUUGCUUUUAAAUGUAAGCAGGGAAUAUUAGGGAAAAAUAUUGCCGUGCCAUAGUAUCGAUUUUGUUAAAAAAUGUUUUCUAGACCAUCAAAUACAGCAGUGAGUCAUUGCAAAUAUUAGUUUUUCAAAUGCUACCAAUAGUUUAGAGCUGGAUACAUUAAGACAAAUACUGUUGCAUUUGAUGAUGAAAAGAGUGAUGAUAAGGACAAGAAUCAUUUUAUUCUCUGCUUCAAAAAAAUUAUGAAGGCCAAACAAUGAGUAAACACAGUUAUGCUUAUUUGCUGCACGUGUGGAAA